GUCCUGCCUACAAUUAACAUACAAUGGGGAGGGAACUGACAUUAGCUGGGUACCUUCUCUGUGUCAGCAUCUCUGUGAGGCCUCAAUCCAGUUCAUCUGAAGUAAUUCAGCAAGCACCUGUUGAGUCUUCUAACUGCAGGGACUGGCCCCUAGGAGCAUCUGGGCUACGGAAGGAGGCGGCCAGACACCGGAUACACACCUAGAGAAGUUCAGAUGUGGCCAUUGCAUCUGAACCCCAACUCAGCGCAUGGUCUGACAGUGGGUUAUUUUAAAUUGUGAACGUAUGUAUAGGGAAGACGUU
rnacentral:lncRNA from 1 species